CCUACGGGUGGCAGCAGUAGAGAAUAUUUCACAAUGGGGGAAACCCUGAUGCUGCGACGCCGCGUGGGGGAUUGAGGUUUUAGGAUUGUAAACUCCUUUUCUUAGGGAAGAAAAUGACGGUAUCUGACGAAUAAGCACCGGCUAACUCCGUGCCAGCAGCCGCGGUAAUACGGAGGGUGCAAGCGUUAGCCGGAUUCACUGGGCGUAAAGGGUGCGGAGGCGGGGUCGUAAGUCAGAUGUGAAAGCCUGUGGCUUAACUUCAGAACUGCAUUUGAAACUGUGAGUCUAGAGUGUGGGAGAGGUAAGCGGAAUUCUUGGUGUAGGGGUGAAAUGCGUAGAUAUCAAGAGGAACACUCGUGGCGAAGGCGGCUUACUGGAACAUAACUGACGCUGAGGCACGAAAGCGUGGGGAGCAAACAGGAUUAGAUACCCGGGUAGUC
rnacentral:rRNA from 1 species